rnacentral:rRNA from 1 species
GAUGAACGCUGGCGGCGUGCCUAAUACAUGCAAGUCGAGCGAACAGACAAGGAGCUUGCUCCUUUGACGUUAGCGGCGGACGGGUGAGUAACACGUGGGUAACCUACCUAUAAGACUGGGAUAACUUCGGGAAACCGGAGCUAAUACCGGAUAAUAUUUCGAACCGCAUGGUUCGAUAGUGAAAGAUGGUUUUGCUAUCACUUAUAGAUGGACCCGCGCCGUAUUAGCUAGUUGGUAAGGUAACGGCUUACCAAGGCGACGAUACGUAGCCGACCUGAGAGGGUGAUCGGCCACACUGGAACUGAGACACGGUCCAGACUCCUACGGGAGGCAGCAGUAGGGAAUCUUCCGCAAUGGGCGAAAGCCUGACGGAGCAACGCCGCGUGAGUGAUGAAGGUCUUCGGAUCGUAAAACUCUGUUAUUAGGGAAGAACAUACGUGUAAGUAACUAUGCACGUCUUGACGGUACCUAAUCAGAAAGCCACGGCUAACUACGUGCCAGCAGCCGCGGUAAUACGUAGGUGGCAAGCGUUAUCCGGAAUUAUUGGGCGUAAAGCGCGCGUAGGCGGUUUUUUAAGUCUGAUGUGAAAGCCCACGGCUCAACCGUGGAGGGUCAUUGGAAACUGGAAAACUUGAGUGCAGAAGAGGAAAGUGGAAUUCCAUGUGUAGCGGUGAAAUGCGCAGAGAUAUGGAGGAACACCAGUGGCGGAGGCGACUUUCUGGUCUGUAACUGACGCUGAUGUGCGAAAGCGUGGGGAUCAAACAGGAUUAGAUACCCUGGUAGUCCACGCCGUAAACGAUGAGUGCUAAGUGUUAGGGGGUUUCCGCCCCUUAGUGCUGCAGCUAACGCAUUAAGCACUCCGCCUGGGGAGUACGACCGCAAGGUUGAAACUCAAAGGAAUUGACGGGGACCCGCACAAGCGGUGGAGCAUGUGGUUUAAUUCGAAGCAACGCGAAGAACCUUACCAAAUCUUGACAUCCUUUGACAACUCUAGAGAUAGAGCUUUCCCCUUCGGGGGACAAAGUGACAGGUGGUGCAUGGUUGUCGUCAGCUCGUGUCGUGAGAUGUUGGGUUAAGUCCCGCAACGAGCGCAACCCUUAAGCUUAGUUGCCAUCAUUAAGUUGGGCACUCUAAGUUGACUGCCGGUGACAAACCGGAGGAAGGUGGGGAUGACGUCAAAUCAUCAUGCCCCUUAUGAUUUGGGCUACACACGUGCUACAAUGGACAAUACAAAGGGCAGCGAAACCGCGAGGUCAAGCAAAUCCCAUAAAGUUGUUCUCAGUUCGGAUUGUAGUCUGCAACUCGACUACAUGAAGCUGGAAUCGCUAGUAAUCGUAGAUCAGCAUGCUACGGUGAAUACGUUCCCGGGUCU